rnacentral:rRNA from 1 species
GACGAACGCUGGCGGCGUGCCUAAUACAUGCAAGUUGAGCGAUGAAGAUUGGUGCUUGCACCAAUUUGAAGAGCAGCGAACGGGUGAGUAACGCGUGGGGAAUCUGCCUUUGAGCGGGGGACAACAUUUGGAAACGAAUGCUAAUACCGCAUAAUAACUUUAAACAUAAGUUUUAAGUUUGAAAGAUGCAAUUGCGUCACUCAAAGAUGAUCCCGCGUUGUAUUAGCUAGUUGGUGAGGUAAAGGCUCACCAAGGCGAUGAUACAUAGCCGACCUGAGAGGGUGAUCGGCCACAUUGGGACUGAGACGCGGCCCAAACUCCUACGGGAGGCAGCAGUAGGGAAUCUUCGGCAAUGGACGAAAGUCUGACCGAGCAACGCCGCGUGAGUGAAGAAGGUUUUCGGAUUGUAAAACUCUGUUGGUAGAGAAGAACGUUGGUGAGAAUGGAAAGCUCAUCAAGUGACGGUAACUACCCAGAAAGGGACGGCUAACUACGUG